UUCCGGUUGAUCCUGCCGGAGGUCAUUGCUAUUGGAGUCCGAUUUAGCCAUGCUAGUUGCACGAGUUCAGACUCGUAGCAGAUAGCUCAGUAACACGUGGCCAAACUGCCCUAUAGACGGCGAUAACCUCGGGAAACUGAGGCUAAUAGCCGAUACCGUUCAACACCUGGAGUGGUGUGAACGCGAAACGUUCAGGCGCUAUAGGAUGUGGCUGCGGCCGAUUAGGUAGACGGUGGGGUAACGGCCCACCGUGCCCAUAAUCGGUACGGGUUGUGAGAGCAAGAGCCCGGAGACGGUAUCUGAGACAAGAUACCGGGCCCUACGGGGCGCAGCAGGCGCGAAACCUUUACACUGCACGCGAGUGCGAUAAGGGGACUCCGAGUGCGAGGGCAUAUAGUCCUCGCUUUUCACCACCGUAAGGUGGUGGUGGAAUAAGUGCUGGGCAAGACCGGUGCCAGCCGCCGCGGUAAUACCGGCAGCACGAGUGAUGACCGCUAUUAUUGGGCCUAAAGCGUCCGUAGCUGGCCAGGCAAGUCUAUCGGGAAAUCUGCGCGCUUAACGCGCAGGCGUCCGGUGGAAACUGCAUGGCUUGGGACCGGAAGACCAGAGGGGUACGUCCGGGGUAGGAGUGAAAUCCCGUAAUCCUGGACGGACCACCGGUGGCGAAAGCGCCUCUGGAAGACGGAUCCGACGGUGAGGGACGGAAGCUCGGGUCACGAACCGGAUUAGAUACCCGGGUAGUCCGAGCUGUAAACGAUGUCUGCUAGGUGUGGCACAGGCUACGAGCCUGUGCUGUGCCGUAGGGAAGCCGAGAAGCAGACCGCCUGGGAAGUACGUCCGCAAGGAUGAAACUUAAAGGAAUUGGCGGGGGAGCACUACAACCGGAGGAGCCUGCGGUUUAAUUGGACUCAACGCCGGA
rnacentral:rRNA from 1 species